rnacentral:rRNA from 1 species
AAUAUUUGACAAUGGGGGGAACCCUCAUCCAGCCAUGCCGCGUGUGUGAAGAAGGUCUCCGGAUUGUAAAGCACUUUAAGUUGGGAGGAAGAGUUGUAUGCUAAUACCUUGCAAUUUUGAUGUUACCAACAGAAUCAGCACCGGCUAACUUCGUGCCAGCAGCCGCGGUAAUACGAAGGGUGCAAGCGUUAAUCGGAAUUACUGGGCGUAAAGCACGCGGUGGUAGUUCGUUAAGUUGGAAGUAAAAGACACGGGCUUAACCUGGGAAUUGAUUUCAAAACUAACGAGCUAGAGUACGGUAGAGGGUAGUGGAAUUUCCUGUGUAGCGGUGAAAUGCGUAGAUAUAGGAAGGAACAUCAGUGGCGAAGGCGACUACCUGGACUGAUACUGACACUGAGGUGCGAAAGCAUGGGGAGCAAACAGG